CCUGCACGGGUUCGACCGCAGGUCGGGAUGUGAUCCACGGGAGCGGUCUCGGAGACGAGCCGUCACCGGCGUGAUUGAACCACUCA
rnacentral:ncRNA from 1 species